rnacentral:rRNA from 1 species
UACGUAGGGUGCGAGCGUUAAUCGGAAUUACUGGGCGUAAAGCGUGCGCAGGCGGUUUUUCAAGACCGAUGUGAAAUCCCCGGGCUCAACCUGGGAAUGGCAUUGGUGACUGGAAGGCUAGAGUGUGUCAGAGGGGGGUAGAAUUCCACGUGUAGCAGUGAAAUGCGUAGAGAUGUGGAGGAAUACCGAUGGCGAAGGCAGCCCCCUGGGAUAACACUGACGCUCAUGCACGAAAGCGUGGGGAGCAAACAGG